rnacentral:rRNA from 2 species
GCCGCAGUAUACUAACUGUGCAAAGGUAGCAUAAUCAUUUGUUAUUUAAUUGAUAACUGGUAUGAAUGGUUUUAUAAAAAAUAUUCUUUUUUUAUUUUUUAUUUAAAAUUUUAUUUUAAAGUCAAAAAGCUUUAAUUUUUUUAUUAGACGAUAAGACCCUAUAGAACUUUAAUGUUAUUUUUAAUUUUAUUUUUAGAUUUUUAAAUAUAAAUAAUUUAUUCAUUUUUGUUGGGGUGACAGUUAAAUUUUUAUAACUUUAAUUUUUAAUUUUUCAUUUAUUUGUGAAUUUUUUGAUCCAUAUUUUUUGAUUAUAAGAUUAAGUUACCUUAGGGAUAACAGCGUAAUUUUGUUGGAGAGUUCUUAUUAAUAACAAAGUUUGCGACCUCGAUGUUGGAUUAAA